AAGACAGGCAGCAGAAGAUACUAGCAUAGUAGAUGAAGUAACCAAUCAGAGAUUAGAAGUCCCUGAUGAGCCAUCCCCUAAUGAAUGGAGAGAACAUUUCCUGGCUUAUGGGAAAGAGAGCUGGAGCCAAGGGAAGUGCUUCAUUCAGCUGGAUCAGUUACUGGAAACUCGUUUCCUUAGGCCAGCCAGUUCUUCCAGACGCUGAGUCUGUGGCUGUCUAGUCUCCUCUCUAGGGGUGCGGAAUCAGAGGAGAGAGGCCCGGAGCAUCAGCUACCGGCUCCUGCCUCACAAUCCUGCAGUCCAUUUAAAGGAACAAGGAGUCGUUGCGCCCCUGCAAGCGGAGGAUGGACACAAUCUGCAUGGAGAAGCAGCGAGCAAACCAGAGAGCUUCUCAGGAGAGGCUGGUCCUAGUGAGCUGCCCAAACUGCUCCCUGCUCUGAAGCAUGCUCAGUAACUGCCAAAGUUUCUCUCUGAGAUAAUGUACCUGCAUUUGAUUAGGAUCUUGAGUGUAACAACCCACUCCUUUCAUUGGGAAUGUCUCAGAGCUAAAAGUUUCUUUCUAUGCAUAAUUAAUAUUCUAUCUCCUUGAAGAUAAAUUUUAUCUCUCCAACUCUGUAAAUGGAUCAUUUCCCCUUGGUUAUUACUACGUCGUCUCCUUACCAAAAAUAAAAUAACAGGAAAAGAAAAAUGAUACGUAAAAAAAAAUCCUCACUGAAAAUGAUUUACAUUUUUAUUCCCAAUGUGAAAAGCUUAACGUUUUUAAUGCAUGUCCAGCUUGAAACCCGCUGCAAAUGUCUUACAACGUUUUGUAACAGGAUUUUCCCGUCCGUGCUGAAAACAGCUGAUGAUUUAAUGCAAAUUGUCAUUGUUUCACCCUCUCCCAGUGAUCUUUCCUAUUUUGUGUUAGCAUUUAGGGGCUCUUUUGCAUCUGUUUUAGAAAUCCGACUGCUAGGAUUGGCUUUUUGUUGCGGCCACUCUGUUCUAUAGCACCCGACUUUCCUCAUGUUGCAGCUCUUACUCAUUUUAUUAUUUUUUAAUUUCACUGUCUUCAGUCUCAUAUAACUGUCUUUUCUCAACAUUAAAACCUGGCUUAGAAGUGAACGUCUUCUGGUCUAAGAGGUUUAAAUAGUGAAGCAAAAGAUGCAAAGUAUGGAGUAGUGGUUACCAACAAGGGACCCGGGGAGGUCUGCAAAGCCACAUGGAAACCUGGUUUUGUCUAUUUCAAUAUGCAUUUAAAUUUAGAACACACUGGGCCUAAAGUGCAACUAAACUAUUAUAUUCAUAUAAUGUAUAUACAAUAUGUAAUAUACAUAUGUAAUUUUCAAGUGUAGGUAAAUAUUAUUGUGAUUAAUAAAAUUUAUUUUCAAGGCAUUACUAAUUUCAUAACUAUACAUUGUAUUGUGUUUCUUUUCCCAAUAAAUUACCAUCAAGUAAGGAAUCAAGGAAGGAAUCAAGUAAGGAAUUUUAAAUUGUUAAAAACUAAAAAAUUUUCUUUUGAUAAAACCUUGAUACCACAGAGGUAGGUGCAGUUAGGACAAUGGGUUUUGUGUUCUGACUGAGCAGCUCACUAAGUGGCCAAGUCACGAAGUCUGGGGGGUCUCGGUUUCCUCACGUGUAAAAUUGGACUAUCAUUUCUCUAACCUGCUUCACUGGGUUUGGAGACUCAAAAAGAAAAGAUGAGAAUGUGUGCAAAUUGUAAAGGGCUACGUGAAUAAAUCAAGAAAAAUGGGAGCCUGGGCAGCCUGCACUCUCCGGUUGCAGGUUCGGAUUUUGUGGAAAUGCUUGGGUGGCUUGGACCAGAGGAGGAGCUCCUUGGGCUCAGAUGAGAGUCAAGCCCAGCAGUUCAAAUUAAAGAAAGUUUGGAAAUGGAGUUACAAGUCAGGGCAUGUGCAGGACAAAUUGACUUUGAGGUUUCACAAGACAAGUUCAAAGGCUUGCAUUAUUCCGGAAUACUCCACCCCGCAUUCAUUGGCAAGCCCUAAUCUGACCCAUCUCGGGGUUGUCAGGCUAAAGUUUUCAACCAUUUCAUCCCAACAUAAACAGCUGUGAUCAGUAUGUUGCCACCGACAACCAGAGCUGAAUAAAAGAAUCCCAGCUAUGAACUGAACCCUGAAACCAGAUCAUUAGCCAAGGUCAUGAUGGGGCUAGAAAUUUGUGUUGUUUUCCUUCCUGUCACUUGCCAGCAGUAUAUGGUACUCUUCCCCUGUCGUUUGCAGUCGGCUGGGCCCUGAGCCAUGUGAGACUGUUUUUAAUGGCAAAAUCUUCAAAGCUGUACUUAAAAUAUUUGCAUCAUAAAAUCCCACAUGGAAGCCAAACUUCAGCUUCAGAAGGAGCCUUCUAGCAAGCAGCAAACUUGCCUUCAGAGACAGGGGAAGUCUCCGCCACCAGCACCAGCUUCCAGCAGUGGAUCCACGAGGCUGGUGACACCCUAGGAGGAGAAUCAGAUCAUGAAUUAUUCAGUAGCAUGGAUGGCAUCACCAGGCAGAGGGACAACACGUGGAUGUCUGUUCGAACCAACUUUAAAAACUGUAGAAAGCAGAUGAGUUUUUAGAAUCCCCAAACGACUGUCUGAUUUAUCUGUGCCCUUCCUGCCAACCUGUCAAACAAAAACUAAUUAAAAUAAUUACUGGGAUGUACUGGG